rnacentral:rRNA from 1 species
UGUGUAGGUGGUAUUAAGUUCUGUAUUAAUAAAAACACAAUUUUAAUGUAUGUUAUACAGUAAUAUAAUACUUGAGUAUAUUAUGCGAUAAGAGAACUUUUAAUGGAGCGAUAAAAUGCUAAAAUAUUAAAGGGAAUACCGAAGGCGAAAGCAAUUAUCAUAUAUAUACUGACACUGAGACACGAAGGCAUGGGUAUCAAACA